GCAUGAGGAUGGUGUAUAUCAAGACACUGUCAAAGGCCUGGACCACUUACUGCACUGAAAUGGGAGUUCUGCUCCAUCAAGUCCAUAUUAAUGAUCAGCCUCCUACUUCUGGUCAAGACACCAUCGAUCGGAGGUACCCGAUGCCUAUGACAGAUUGGAGGGAGGAACCGCAGGGUGCCGACACUGAUUGACACUUGCUCUCUCCAUAUAUUCCAAAAAUGCAAGAGCUUCAGAACCAGCAAGACUGAAUCUGCACCAUUUACUAUGGGGGAGCAUCAUUCUCCAGUUCCUGGUCUUUUAUGAAAAUGCCCUUCCUG